rnacentral:rRNA from 1 species
CCUACGGGUGGCAGCAGUGGGGAAUAUUGGACAAUGGGCGAAAGCCUGAUCCAGCCAUGCCGCGUGUGUGAAGAAGGCCUUCGGGUUGUAAAGCACUUUCAGUGGGGAAGAAAGCCUUGGGGCUAAUACCCUCGAGGAAGGACAUCACCCACAGAAGAAGCACCGGCUAACUCCGUGCCAGCAGCCGCGGUAAUACGGAGGGUGCGAGCGUUAAUCGGAAUUACUGGGCGUAAAGCGCGCGUAGGCGGUCUGAUAAGCCGGUUGUGAAAGCCCCGGGCUCAACCUGGGAACGGCAUCCGGAACUGUCAGGCUAGAGUGCAGGAGAGGAAGGUAGAAUUCCCGGUGUAGCGGUGAAAUGCGUAGAGAUCGGGAGGAAUACCAGUGGCGAAGGCGGCCUUCUGGACUGACACUGACGCUGAGGUGCGAAAGCGUGGGUAGCAAACAGGAUUAGAUACCCUUGCAGUC